AGUAUAACAAUUACCUUGGUCUUGUAAGCCAAAAACGGAGAAUAUCUACCCUCCCUAAGACUCAAGGAAG
rnacentral:tRNA from 2 species